rnacentral:rRNA from 1 species
GACGAACGCUGGCGGCGUGCCUAAUACAUGCAAGUUGAGCGCUGAAGGUUGGUACUUGUACCAACUGGAUGAGCAGCGAACGGGUGAGUAACGCGUGGGUAAUCUGCCUUUGAGCGGGGGACAACAUUUGGAAACGAAUGCUAAUACCGCAUAAAAACUUUAAACACAAGUUUUAAGUUUGAAAGAUGCAAUUGCAUCACUCAAAGAUUAUCCCGCGUUGUAUUAGCUAGUUGGUGAUGUAAAGGCUCACCAAGGCGAUGAUACAUAACCGACCUGAGAGGGUGAUCGGCCACAUUGGGACUGAGACAAGGCCCAAACCCCUAAGGGAGGCAGCAGUAGGGAAUCUUCGGCAAUGGACGAAAGUCUGAACGAGGCACGCCGCGUGAGGGAAGAAGGGUUUCGGAUCGUAAAACUCUGUUGGUAGAGAAGAACGUUGGUGAGAGUGGAAAGCUCAUCAAGUGACGGUAACUAAGCAGAAAGGGACGGCUAACUACGUG